GGGGCAGUAGCUCAAUCGCGGAAGAGCGCCCGACGGACGCGUCGGGAAGGUUGGAGGUUCGACCCCUCCCUGCCCCUC
rnacentral:tRNA from 1 species